GACGAACGCUGGCGGCGUGCUUAACACAUGCAAGUCGAACGAUGAAGCCGGAGCUUGCUCUGGUGAAUUAGUGGCGAACGGGUGAGUAACACGUGAGUAACCUGCCCUUGACUCUGGGAUAACUGCUAGAAAUGGUAGCUAAUACCGGAUACGACCCUCGGAGGCAUCUUCAGGGGGUGGAAAGAAUUUCGGUCAAGGAUGGACUCGCGGCCUAUCAGCUAGUUGGUGAGGUAACGGCUCACCAAGGCGACGACGGGUAGCCGGCCUGAGGGGGUGACCGGCCACACUGGGACUGAGACACGGCCCAGACUCCUACGGGAGGCAGCAGUGGGGAAUAUUGCACAAUGGGCGCAAGCCUGAUGCAGCAACGCCGCGUGAGGGAUGACGGCCUUCGGGUUGUAAACCUCUUUUAGUAGGGAAGAAGCGAAAGUGACGGUACCUGCAGAAAAAGCACCGGCUAACUACGUGCCAGCCGCCGCCGUAA
rnacentral:rRNA from 1 species